UAUGGAAGUCACUGUUAUAACGGUUUCAACAGACAAUUGCAAAAUAAAAAUAGUAAGUAUUAACCUGCAAUUCACCAAAUUAAAAAAUUUAAAAAGAUGACAUAUCUAGACUUUUCAAUAACAACCUAACCUUACUCUCAAGAGAUUUAAACUCGAAAAAAACCAUAUAUGGGCUGUCUAAAAACAAUACCUUAUGGCAAUUAAUUACUCAGAAAUGAAUUUGAGUAAUUAUCAUAAUAUUUCACUAGAACAUACCUUCCAACAAACUAGCAAACAACCAGACAUAUCAACCAUUGCCCUAAUCUCCAGUCUCUAAACAGAGAUAUAUCAUCAAAUUUCAUAUAAUAUAAAGCAGACUCAUACCACAUGCCAAUUAUUACUACCUUAUAUGAGCAAUUCAAAAUAACACCUCAACACCUAAAUUAAUCAAACUAAAAGUGAAACAAUAAAAAUGUUUACUCUUUGGAGAUAUAUAAACCCAACUCAAGUAAAAAUUAAUAAUCAA